rnacentral:rRNA from 1 species
UACGUAGGGCGCGAGCGUUUGUCCGGAUUUAUUGGGCGUAAAGAGCGUGUAGGCGGCCUGGAAGGUCAGCUGUGAAAACUCGAGGCUCAACCUCGAGACGUCGGUUGAAACCACCUGGCUAGAGUCCGGAAGAGGAGUGUGGAAUUCCCGGUGUAGCGGUGAAAUGCGCAGAUAUCGGGAGGAACACCAAUGGCGAAGGCAGCUCGCUGGGACGGUACUGACGCUGAGGCGCGAAAGCGUGGGGAGCAA